rnacentral:rRNA from 1 species
GUGUAGCAAUACACAGUGGCGCACGGGUGCGUAACGCGUAUGCAACCUACCCAUCAAUGGGGGAUAGCCCGGGGAAACCCGGAUUAAUACCGCAUAAGCUAGGAGAAUGGCAUCAUUUUCUUAGGAAACAUUUAUGGUUGAUGGAUGGGCAUGCGUUAGAUUAGCUAGUUGGUGGUGUAACAGACCACCAAGGCAAUGAUCUAUAGGGGUUCUGAGAGGAAGAUCCCCCACACUGGUACUGAGAUACGGACCAGACUCCUACGGGAGGCAGCAGUAGGGAAUAUUGGGCAAUGCCCGCAAGGGUGACCCAGCCAUGCCGCGUGCAGGAAGAAGGCCUUCUGGGUUGUAAACUGCUUUUGGAAGGGAACAAAACGGGCCUGCGGGCCAACUUGAGUGUACCUUCAGAAUAAGCACCGGCUAACUCCGUGCCAGCAGCCGCGGUAAUACGGAGGGUGCAAGCGUUGUCCGGAUUUAUUGGGUUUAAAGGGUGCGUAGGCGGCUUAUUAAGUCAGGGGUGAAAGACUAUUGCUUAACAAUGGCAGUGCCUUUGAUACUGAUAGGCUUGAGUACAGCUGAGGCAGAUGGAACGGGUGGUGUAGCGGUGAAAUGCAUAGAUACCAUCCAGAACACCGAUUGCGAAGGCAGUCUGCUAAACUGUAACUGACGCUGAGGCACGAAAGCGUGGGGAUCGAACAGGAUUAGAUACCCUGGUAGUCCACGCCGUAAACGAUGAUGACUCGAUGUUAGGGAUAUACUCUUAGCGUCCAAGCGAAAGCGUUAAGUCAUCCACCUGGGGAGUACGCCCGCAA